UAAGUGAAUAGUGAAAUCUGGUGGCUCAACCAUACAGGCUAUUAUUCAAACUGGCAAACUCGAGAGUGGUAGAGGUCACUGGAAUUUCUAGUGUAGGAGUGAAAUCCGUAGAUAUUAGAAGGAACACCAAUAGCGUAGGCAGGUUACUGGAACAGUUCUGACACUAAGGCACGAAAGCGUAGGGAGCAAACGGGAUUAGAUACCCCGGUAGUCUACGCCGUAAACGAUGGAUACUA
rnacentral:rRNA from 1 species